rnacentral:tRNA from 1 species
UAGCUCAGCUGGCUAGAGCAUAAGCUUCCCAAGCUUAGGGUCGCGGGUUCGAAUCCCG